AUUGAUCUAGCAUAAAAAAUGCAAAGAGUUUAAGCCUCUUAGAUAAUAAUUAAA
rnacentral:tRNA from 1 species